UUAGGAUCAACAGCAAAAAUAUAUAUCAAGUGGCCUUGUUUUUUUUUUAACGACAUCAGAGCACCCCCAUUAGUGAACUUAUGGGGGUUCACACAGAUUCCAAAAAAAAACAAUAUUAUAAUAAUGAAUAGUGAUGAACUUGUCUCUCCUCAGCUCUUCCCAGUGAACCUGGUUCAUCGCUGUAGCGCGGAUCCCACGAUACGUGGCGGUCCACUAUUGGUCCGAUAAAUUAAAAUUUUUUUUAAAAAAGAAAAACAAAAAUCAAACAGUAAAACAAAAUAAUAAAAAAAUAUUUUGUGAACCCCUUUUAUGGGGUUCACUGAUGCAGAUGCUCUCAAGUAGCCUUGUAAAAUAUGAAUAAUUAGAUAAUAUUUGCGUAUACGUGUACAUACGUCAUACAUAUAUACGGAAGUCUACGUCUUUUGUUUUAGCUACACGCCAACCCUAAAACUAGUCCCACUAUAUGAAAGAAUAAACUUAGGUAACUAUGAAUCACGCUAUCAAAAGGCAAAUGAAAUAUAUAGUGAACAAUCUCAUUUUUUGGUGGUUCUUAACAUAGAUCCCAACAUAAAAG
rnacentral:lncRNA from 1 species